UACGUAGGGUGCGAGCGUUGUCCGGAAUUACUGGGCGUAAAGAGCUCGUAGGUGGUUUGUCACGUCGUCUGUGAAAUUCCGGGUCUUAACCUCGGGCGUGCAGGCGAUACGGGCAAUACUUGAGUGCUGUAGGGGAGACUGGAGUUCCUGGUGUAGCGGUGAAAUGCGCAGAUAUCAGGAGGAACACCAAUGGCGAAGGCAGGUCUCUGGGCAGUUACUGACGCUGAGGAGCGAAAGCAUGGGUAGCGAACAGGAUUAGA
rnacentral:rRNA from 1 species